rnacentral:rRNA from 1 species
UGGGGAAUUGUUCGCAAUGGGCGCAAGCCUGACGACGCAACGCCGCGUGGAGGAUGAAGAUCUUCGGGUCGUAAACUCCUGUCGAAUGGGACGAAUGAGUCGCGGGUGAACAACCCGUGAUUGUGACGGUACCGUUAGAGGAAGCCCCGGCUAACUCCGUGCCAGCAGCCGCGGUAAUACGGGGGGGGCGAGCGUUGUUCGGAAUUACUGGGCGUAAAGGGCUCGUAGGCGGCCAACUAAGUCAGACGUGAAAUCCCUCGGCUUAACCGGGGAACUGCGUCUGAUACUGGAUGGCUUGGAUUUGGGAGAGGGAUGCGGAAUUCCAGGUGUAGCGGUGAAAUGCGUAGAUAUCUGGAGGAACACCGGUGGCGAAGGCGGCAUCCUGGACCAACAUUGACGCUGAGGAGCGAAAGCCAGGGGAGCAAACGGGAUUAGAUACCCCCGUAGUCC